CCUAACCUCAGAUCAAGUCAUCACCCUAAGAUUCAGUGAUUUACUUUGUGGGAACCCAGAAGACUAGAGUUCCAAUAGUGUGAGUGAGGUCCCUGGUUUUGGGCACCCAGAUGCAUAAAAAAGAUUUCCUGUUGAACGAGGUUGCUCAUGCUACCUUGUACAGCUAUUCAGUGAAAAGCUCCUUAAUGGAGGAACACCAGCCAGUCAGACACCAAGAUGAUACCUGCAGCUGUGCUUUGCUUGCAGCAACACUCCUCCACACUUUGCUUCAUCUGAG